CUCAGAGUUGAGGUUUUAAGACUGAUCAGAAUCCUCCUGGGUCGUCUCAGAGUCGAGGUUUUAAGACUGAUCAGAAUCCUCCUGGGUCGUCUCAGAGUCGAGGUUUUAAGACUGAUCAGAAUCCUCCUGGGUCGUCUCAGAGUCAAGGUUUUAAGACUGUAUCUGAAUCCUCCUGGGUCGUCUCAGAGUCAAGGUUUUAAGACUGAUCAGAAUCCUCCUGGGUCGUCUCAGAGUCGAGGUUUUAAGACUGAUCAGAAUCCUCCUGGGUCGUCUCAGAGUCGAGGUUUUAAGACUGAUUAGAAUCCUCCUGGGUCGUCUCAGAGUCAAGGUUUUAAGACGUUAUCUGAAUCCUCCUGGG
ensembl:lncRNA